UGGUAGUGAGAGGAGCUCAGGGGGACCCCCCCACCAGAAAGAUGUCCUGGCAGGAACCCUGUGGUCUGUCAUGGCCAAAGAGUUGACAACCACUCACUAUAACAUAAGGUAUUGAGAAACAAGUAUGUCACCAAUAACAAUGCAGUAACUGAAUGCUGUUGUUCCAUGGCAUGUGGAGAAGAGUGGUUGAGCACUGUCAAUCAGGAUCUCCAAAGGUAUAAGAAGAACUUGCUUGCUGCUCCACAUGUCUUUGAAAAUGGAAUUCACCUUCCAGUUCUCACCUGUUCCACCAGGAACAUCUACCCUGCACUAGACCUGAUCACACACAGCACAUACCCCAGUUGCAGCUCAAAUCUGAAGGUAUUCAGACACCUCCAGUUUCACAGCCAAACAGUGGAUGGAGCUUGGGGACUUUUCCAGAAGAAUAGGAGGAAGGAUUGCAGCUGCAAAGAGGAUUGGAACUUCAUAGGAAGACCAACAGAGUCAAAUCACCUGGACACUUAGGGCUCUCAGAGACUGAAGCACCAACCAAAGAACAUACAUGAACUGGACCUCACGUCCCUCCACACAUAUGUAGCAGAUGUGUAACUUGGUCUUCAUGCAGGUCCCAAACAACUGGAUCAUGAACUAUCCAAUACCUAUUGCCUAUAUGUGGGAUGUAUUUUUCCAGCUGUGCUGUUUUAUCUGGCCUCAGUGGAGCCUCCUCCAUGUGCCUAGCCUAGCAGAGACUUGAUGUGCCAGGGUGGGGGAUACCCAGGGAGUCUGACCUGCUCAGAGAAGGGAGUGAGGGAAGGAAUAGGGGAAGGGGGUAACAGGAAGAGGGGCAGUGAGAAGGAUGUAAAGUAAAUAAUUAAAAAAUAAAAUAAUAAAUAAUAAAAAUUAAAAA
rnacentral:lncRNA from 1 species